rnacentral:lncRNA from 1 species
GUAGAGAUAAGUGGAAGCCACUUCUCUCUUGUUUGGUGCUAAGAAGGGAGUGAGGGCAGGUCUGGAACCACUUCCUCUCACCAAUCCUGAGAAUUUCCACCCAGCCCUGACCAUCCUCCUCUUCCUCCGCAUUUGAUCUGUCUUUGGUUUUUGAGGAGAAGAUAAGGGAAGAUGAACAAGAUGAGAGAGAGAAGAUGAGGGGGAAGAGAAAGGAAUGAAAUAGGCAACAGGAAAGACUUCUCUGAAAUUGGUGCCAGAGUCUUCCCCAGACAAACUAAAGCUGGAUGGUAAGAGGCAUUCCUGGGAAGUUUUGUUCUUUCUACCCGAAGAAGCUCCACAACCUGCAGUAAGAUGGUGUCCACAGAACUGGGUGGAGUCAUUAAGAUUUUUCUACCCCUCUCCCACUGCCACCCACAUGCUAGCGCUAGCUCCUUUGUGGACCUAAGAUAACCCAUUUCUUCUCAGAGCCUGGGACCCACAUCAUCUCCCACCCCCACUGGCCAAUGCUUUUCACAUCAACAGUUGUGAAUCUUUCCCAUGUUUCUUCAGCGCUUUU